rnacentral:rRNA from 1 species
UACCAGCUCCCUGAGUGGUAAGGACGAUUAUUUGGCCUAAAGCGUCCGUAGCCGGCUUAUCAAGUCUUUUGUUAAACCCAAUGAUUCAAUCAUUGAUCUGCAAGAGAUACUGUUAUGCUAGAGGACGGGAGAGGUCGACGGUAGUCCAGGGGUAGGGGUGAAAUCCUAUAAUCCUUGGAGGACCACCAGUGGCGAAGGCGGUCGACUAGAACGUGCCUGACGGUGAGGGACGAAAGCUGGGGGAGCGAACCGGAUUAGAUACCCGGGUAGUCCCAGCUGUAAACGAUGCGGGCUAGGUGUUGGGGUAGCUACGAGCUACUCCAGUGCCGCAGAGAAGUUGUUAAGCCCGCCGCCUGGGGAGUACGGCCGCAAGGCUGAAACUUAAAGGAAUUGGCGGGGGAGCACCACAGGGGGUGAAGGCUGCGGUUU